GACAGAUAUUAUUCAGCAACAGUACUUUGGAGUAAAAGUUGUUUGCCAACAUAGCAUGGCAGUCAUGGUUUAGGAUGAAUGUUGCUGUAAUUUAGCCCCAGAAGACAUAGUCUCCAGCUGGCUAUACGACACGAUUUGUUUCCUUAUAUUGUCGGU